UACGUAGGGGGCUAGCGUUGUCCGGAUUUACUGGGCGUAAAGAGCGUGUAGGCGGCCAAACAGGUCCGUUGUGAAAACUGGAGGCUCAACCUCCAGACGUCGACGGAAACCGUGUGGCUAGAGUCCGGAAGAGGAGAGUGGAAUUCCUGGUGUAGCGGUGAAAUGCGCAGAUAUCAGGAAGAACACCAAUUGCGGAUGCAGCUCUCUGGGACGGUACUGACGCUGAGACGCGAAAGCGUGGGGAGCGAACAGG
rnacentral:rRNA from 1 species